rnacentral:rRNA from 1 species
UACACGACCGUACCGCAAACCGACACUGGUGCGCGAGAUGAGUAUUCUAAGGCGCUUGAGAGAACUCAGGAGAAGGAACUCGGCAAAUUGACACCGUAACUUCGGAAGAAGGUGUGCCUUUAGUAGGUGAACCAUUUACUUGGGGAGCCCAAUGAGGCUGCAAAAAAUCGGUGGCUGCAACUGUUUAUUAAAAACACAGCACUCUGCUAAGACGAAAGUCGACGUAUAGGGUGUGACGCCUGCCCGGUGCUGGAAGAUUAAAUGAUGGGGUGCAAGCUCUUGAUUGAAGUCCCAGUAAACGGCGGCCGUAACGAUAACGGUCCUAAGGUAGCGAAAUUCCUUGUCGGGUAAGUUCCGACCUGCACGAAUGGCGUAAUGAUGGCCACACUGUCUCCUCCUGAGACUCAGCGAAGUUGAAAUGUUUGUGAUGAUGCAAUCUCCCCGCGGAAAGACGGAAAGACCCCAUGAACCUUUACUGUAGCUUUGUAUUGGACUUUGAACAGAUCUGUGUAGGAUAGGUGGGAGGCUUUGAAGUGUGGUCGCUAGAUCGCAUGGAGCCAACGUUGAAAUACCACCCUGGUGUGUUUGAGGUUCUAACCUAGGUCCAUUAUCUGGAUCGGGGACAGUGCAUGGUAGGCAGUUUGACUGGGGCGGUCUCCUCCCAAAGUGUAACGGAGGAGUUCGAAGGUACGCUAGUUACGGUCGGACAUCGUGAUAAUAGUGCAAUGGCAUAAGCGUGCUUAACUGCGAGACUGACAAGUCGAGCAGAUGCGAAAGCAGACAUAGUGAUCCGGUGGUUCUGUAUGGAAGGGCCAUCGCUCAACGGAUAAAAGGUACUCUGGGGAUAACAGGCUGAUACCGCCCAAGAGUUCAUAUCGACGGCGGUGUUUGGCACCUCGAUGUCGGCUCAUCUCAUCCUGGGGCUGUAGCCGGUCCCAAGGGUAUGGCUGUUCGCCAUUUAAAGAGGUACGUGAGCUGGGUUUAAAACGUCGUGAGACAGUUUGGUCCCUAUCUUCCGUGGGCGCUGCAGAUUUGAGGAAGCCUGCUCCUAGUACGAGAGGACCGGAGUGGACGAACCUCUGGUGUAUCGGUUGUCACGCCAGUGGCAUUGCCGAGUAGCUAAGUUCGGAAGAGAUAACCGCUGAAAGCAUCUAAGCGGGAAACUCGUUUCAAGAUUAGAUCUGCCGGGGCCUUGAGCCCCCUAAAGAGUCGUUCAAGACCAGGACGUUGAUAGGUCAGGUGUGGAAGC